AUUGAACGCUGCGGCAGGCCUAACACAUGCAAGUCGAGCGAGCGGCGGACGGGUGAGUAAUGCUUAGGAAUCUGCCUCUUAGUGGGGGACAACAUCUCGAAAGGGAUGCUAAUACCGCUUACUAAUAGAUGAGCCUAGUCGGAUUAGCUAGUUGGUGGGGUAAAGGCCUACCAAGGCGACGAUCUGUAGCGGGGCUGAGAGGAUGAUCCGCCAAACUGGGACUGAGAACCGCCCAGACUCCUGAGGGAAGCAGCAGUGGGAAGAUUGGACAAUGGGGGGAACCCUUGUCCAGCCAAGCCGCGGGUUUGGAAAAGGGCUUAUGGGUUGAAAGGACUUUAAGCGAGGGAGCGUUACUCGCAGAAUAAGCACCGGCUAACUCCGUGCCAGCAGCCGCGGUAAUUC
rnacentral:rRNA from 1 species